AGAAGCAGGAAAAAGGACGUAGGGUGGUUGUAUGGCAGUAGCAGGUGCCUGACGUUGGCCUGUGGGAGAAAGUAUAGGGAUUCAGAGGGGAUCAUGGAGGACGGGGGGAGGCAGAGGCAACAAAAGGACAACAUUAGGCGUCAAAGAGGGAGGAGAUGUUUUCAUCUUCUUUAGAGAAAAAACCUGUAUCAAGCGGGGAAAGGAGAGGAAAGCUCUUCAUUGUCGUGAGAAGACCACCUAGGUGGAGUAAAAAAGAAUUCACAGAAGGGGAAAGGGAGAGGCUAGCAAGGUAGGAAAGAGUAAGUGAUACAUCAGAGACGCGAGGUUGACGUUAACAAGAGUCUUCAAGAGGUGAGUAAUCCCUCUCUGCACAUGAGACUAAUAGCCUUUUGUUGUAUAUUACUGUUGCAUUGCUGCUCUGAAUAUUAUCGAAUAUUUUCCUAUUGUAUAUGAUACUAUGACUUGAAUCCUUUCCUCCAUUGCUGAUUCCAUGAUAUGUUCCAUGAUAUGCUGUGUUUCUUCUUUACCUGUGUCCAAAUGGGGUCAACAACCGAGCAAAAAAGCUAAAAAGCUAACCCAACCUCUUUGAGUCAUUCACGACGCCCCAUCACCACCCCAUCUAUCACCACCAUAUCCAAACCUUACCCUUUCGCUUGCAACCUUGUCCCUCACGUUGUUUUGACCAGCAAUCGCAAAUCAGAUGAUAAAAUCAUGUCUCCCAAUACGCCCCAUCUGCAUCAAUACGCACAACAUCACAGAACCAAUAACCAAGAACAAACAACUAGCAAAUUCUCCAGGCUCCACUCACAGUUCUAGCCUACCCCG
rnacentral:lncRNA from 1 species